GGGGAUAUAGCUCAGUGGUAGAGUGCGUGCACAAAGUCCUGGGUUCAAUCCCCAGUUUCAUUA
rnacentral:tRNA from 1 species